rnacentral:rRNA from 1 species
GCCCAAGAGAUCGGGAUAACACCUGGAAACAGAUGCUAAUACCGGAUAACAACAGAUGAUGCCUAUCAACUGUUUAAAAGAUGGUUCUGCUAUCACUCUUGGAUGGACCUGCGGUGCAUUAGCUAGUUGGUAGGGUAACGGCCCACCAAGGCGAUGAUGCAUAGCCGAGUUGAGAUACUGAUCGGCCACAUUGGGACUGAGACACGGCCCAAACUCCUACGGGAGGCAGCAGCU